UGGGAAUGGAAAUCACAGAUGUUUUAAGGUAAAGUGUGCAAGCUUUAGUGUUCCCUUGGGUGAAGCAUGGUGCCGUGAAAUUUGGAGUACUAAAAUUUGGAAAAAAAAUGGUUUUCAUAGCCUAACCCUCUGCACUCUUUCUUAGUAGAGUCAAUAGUGCAAUGAACAUGCCACAGUAAACAAGAGACUGAUAUUUAUGACUUAUUCAUCCUGCCAUAUGUCAAUAUAUUUUAACAGUAAAGAUGUGGCUCAAGACAGUCAGAGUCUCAGAACUUUUUGAGAUGAACCAGUGUCACUCCGGAGCUCUCAGUGUGCUGCGUGUGGACUGAAAGACAUCAACAGCCCACAUGUGGGAAGGCCAGCUUCUCUUCCCUUCUUGCCAGCAUGCCUCACUCCUCCAUUUAGUCACUGGACUUGCAGGUGGGACAGAAUUUGGAAACAAGACCUUAUAUUCAAAGUUUGCUGUAACAGGAGACGCAGUGCAUCUGUGGAUCCCUGCACUUGUAUGUGCCUGCCAGCCAACAAACCUGUGAAAGCUCUAAUGGAAACAGAAACUGAAUUGAAAGAGAGUCAUUCCUACCUGCAGCCUGCUUCAGAUGUAAUGAUUAUGAUUACAAACAACAAUGACUUUUCACAGUACAGUAUUUUUGACCACAAUUGGGUUCUACAUGAACUUGUUCUUAUGUAUACAUAA
rnacentral:lncRNA from 1 species